GUUAGAAACGCAUCGUCUCUCUCAUUAGCACCCGUCUCUUUCAUCUCUCUCGUCUUCAAACCUAGAAAAAUCCGCCAUUGACGAACUGUGCGGCCUACUUCAACGAAGGAAUUCCGAAGAAGGACAACCAUUUCGGCUAAUAAAAGGGAAUCUCAUAUGUAAAUUACCGGUAUUUUUUCGUGUUUGAUAUUUUCUGUGGUUGUUCGCUUUCGCUAUUGUUUUGCCGGAAAAUUGUUUCGCCGCUUCUACUACUUUCUUUCUCUGGUAAGUUUCAUAUAAACCCAAUAAUUUACUCUGUCCUUUGUUUGUAUUAUAUGAUAAAUUUUUUCAUUUCUAGUUUGUAAAACUGUAAUUAUCUAGUUAGUUGGAAAAACAAAUUAAACUUUGUUUAGGGUUUUUUGAGGUAUUUUUAGUUGGAAUUUUUGAUCUAACUAACGGGAAGGAUUUGAGCACCAAAAUAUAUGGUCUGUCGUUUUAUACUCUCGGCAAACUAUACGAGCAUGGUGUUACAUUAAGGGAUUUCUUAUUAUUUUUUGCUACUUGACUCUUCAUGUUAAAUCUGCGGCAAAGGAUGUUUUGUGAAUAAGAAAUACAUUGAUCACAUUUUAUCUGUUAGUUUUAUGUGUUAUUAUUGUUUGCUCUAUUUCAUUUGCCUAAUUUCCAUGAACUUCCACUCUAUAAACCUGUUCAUCAGUGUAAAGACACUCUUAAUACAAAUUAGAAGCAAUAAAUGGUUCUUGAUUAUUUGAAGAAAACUUAAUUCAAACUAAAAAGGUAAAGAGAAUCAAUGCUUUAGGCAACACUUGCUAGACUAUUGAUUAAUAUAACAUCAACUUUCUCUAUAUGUAAAAACUCUUACACAAUAUAAGUAGUCAAUCCAUGUAAUUAGCUGAGUUUGAAUUAGCUGCUAAGUUUUUGAACUUGCCUGUCCAUUUUCUGGAAUAUGUCAUAUGAGAGCUAUAUGUUCCAAGACUCAGCCUGCAUAACUGGAAGGACCUUCUGUGUUGCCAGAAAGAUACUAAUUUAUUGGACAUACCUUAUGUGAGAUAAGUCAUUAACAUCCUUGUGGAAUGAAGUAUCAAGUCAAAUUCAGAUGAUACUUAAUUCAGCCUUGUAUAUAGAGUGCCAGAACUUUUGCAUUUAUAUAUAUCUUGUAAAUUUAGAUUUUUUCCUGUAGAAGCAGUCAAACAACUUUAUUGGUUGGUAGUGAUCUCUUUUAAAAUUUUGCAAUAAUGAAAUCCAUAUAAUUUUGAUUUUA